UUUAUUUUUGUGAAAUAUAUAUUUUGUGUUCCAAUACUUUAUUAUUAGUCAAUUUUUUAAUUAAUAUUCUAAAAAAACAUAACUAUAAUGUUUUCUCUUAUGCUAUGAGAUCUACGCGCUAGCCAAGAUCUCAUAGCAUAAUAUAUUUCGUAAUUAAAAAUUUUAAUAUGUGUGAGACUAUGAGUGGAUUUUGUCAACCUAUCAACAAUUACCCAAAUAGCAUCAUGAUUGGUUCAGGUUUUAGGUAAAUCUACUAUGAAAUUCAUGGUAAUGUGUUCCAUUUUCAUUCUGGGAUCUCUAAUGGUUGCAACAACAUAUCAGGUCGGUGUUUUGCUUUUACUUUCUAAUAAAUCAAAUAUUUACUUACCCACUCAGCCAUCUCACUCUUCCUAUUAGGUCACCAAUAGUUUCUUUUACAAUCUUGGUAAAUCUUGGUACUUCCUGAGUGUAUAGAGUAUCUCGAUUCAUGAGCUUCACUCAAAGCAUCGUGUUUAAGUUCUAUCACAUUAGGAAUCCAAAUCCUAUUGAUAAAUUUCCCAAUUCCUUUCUCACCUUUUACACUAAAGUACUAAUGGCCUGUUACUUCAGAUCGUCUCCUUUCAAUCAUUAAUUCUUGACUCUUUUUGAUUCUUUCUAGUAAUCCUAGUCGCAUUAACAUUUCAUAAAUCCUUCCCUCCUUUUGGUCGGAAUCCUUAAUCUCCAAUCCUACCUUUUCCACUUCCUUAAUAAAUUCUUUUGGUAAAAACAUUACCUUGACUCUUUCUUUCCUACCUAAUGCAUCAGCAACGAAGUUCACUUUUCCUUUUCAGGGUGAUAAUUAAUUGUAUAAUCAUAGUCAUUUAUAAAUUCUAACCAUCUCCUUCUUUCUGAAUAAGCAAGUAUUUUAAACUCUUAUAAUCUGUGAAUAUCUCAUAUUUCUCACCAUAUAAGUAAUGUCACCAAAUCUUUAAGGCAAAUACUAUAGUAGCUAAUUCUAGGUCAUGGGUAGGGUACCUUA
rnacentral:lncRNA from 1 species